GUGUCAGCAGCCGCGGUAAUACGGAGGAUCCGAGCGUUAUCCGGAUUUAUUGGGUUUAAAGGGUGCGUAGGCGGCUUUAUAAGUCAGUGGUGAAAUACGGCAGCUCAACUGUCGCAGUGCCUUUGAUACUGUAGAGCUUGAAUAUGUUUGAAGAUGGCGGAAUGAGACAAGUAGCGGUGAAAUGCAUAGAUAUGUCUCAGAACUCCGAUUGCGAAGGCAGCUAUCUAAGUCAUUAUUGACGCUGAUGCACGAAAGCGUGGGUAUCAAACAGGAUUAGAUACCCUGGUAGUCCACGCCCUAAACUAUGAUAACUCGAUGUUAGCGAUACACUGUUAGCGUCUUAGCGAAAGCGUUAAGUUAUCCACCUGGGGAGUACGGCCGCAAGGUUGAA
rnacentral:rRNA from 1 species